ACCACUAAUCACAGAGCCGAUAGUUUAUUAUCCCCUACACUAAUCUACUUGUAAACAACAACAUCACCAAAUUUUGCUUCAUAAAGAAUUCAGAUACCAAAAAUUAGAGUAGUACCCUAUAAUCCAAGGUAAACGAACUCCUGGAUGGCAGGAAUUUCCCCAAUCCUUUUCAGUGACUCCUUGCUGGGUUGUUCAUCCACCCCAAUAGCCAUAACAGCUUGCUUUCUAGGAGCAACUCUUCCAACGCUCAUGAAGCUGACA
rnacentral:misc_RNA from 1 species